GCUUGGUGUCCUCCGUCGCAAUUAUGGCGUAAUCUCCAGCUGCAGUAUUUUUCCGUUUGCUUCUGAUGAGAAGCCAACUGCCACCACUGAUAGAUUAUCGAAUAGAUAUGUGAAAAACACCUUGAGGUUUGAUUCUGUACAACGUUUGCCAUGUUUCUGACGAUAUUAUGGAGCUAAUUUGGAAAAAAGUUUGGCGUUGUAAGUGACUGCAUUUUCCGGUCUUUUUCUUAGCCAAACGUGAUGAACAAAACGGAGUUAUUUCAUCUACACAAAUAAUCUUUUUGGAAAAUAAUGAACAUUUGCUAUCUAACUAAGAGUCUCGUCAUUGAAAACAUCCGAAGUUCUUCAAAGUGUGUUUCCGGUGUCCUGGAACGCACCCUGUCUGGUUGCCGGGCGAAUUAGCUUGUUGGGAGAUCGAUGUUCACCCGCACCUGUAUCCCAUCAGUAAUCUGCACACCUGUCCUGAUCAUCACCUCUCCCCUUCAAAAGCUCUGACCUGACAUCCAUUCCCUGCCGGAUCGUUAGCCAUGAACAGUA
ensembl:lncRNA